CUACCUAGACCACAGCCCUGAGGGGGUGGGGAAAACGGAGGCAAAGACAAAUCAUCCCACUUGCCCCUGAUCACACGGCCACCGCCCACAGCACACGCCCAUCCUACCAGAGGCAGCACCGUGACGGCUGUAAAGUUCUGGGUGGUGACCCAGGACAUGCAAGGCUGACACACAGGAAACUCUGCACCAGCUCUGCCCCAGAGCGUCCCCCGUGGUCCUCACGUUGGCGCCUGGGGCGGGGGGGGGGGGGGGGCAGACCAGCCCUCACUUCACAGAAACGGAGGCCUCUGCCUUGGGCCCCGGGACACACGGGGCUCCCCGGUGACUUCAGAGAGGGUCUCAGACGAGUUUCAGGCGUGGCCUGGGCAGCGCAAAGCUGCUUGCUCCACACGACAGGUGACAGGUGACACGCACAGAGGUCUCGAGCAGACCUUUCUCUCAGAAAAGACACGACGCAUAAUCUUCCCCAAGAUACCACUUUGCACCCAUGAGACCAUCGAGGAAAACAAAGGCCGUUCACGCUACAUUAGCUCAGUCAUUCCCCACGCGGUGGGUACUCUUGAGGCCACGUGGCAACACUCUCAACACGACAAGGGCAGGCGCGCUCCUACCUAACGGCGGGUCGACUGCCACCACUCGCAUUGGGAAAAGAAAAGGAGUACGCCCAAGACCAUGUCUGCGCAUGAAGACAUAGAAUAUUCUGGAAGGCGACGCAAGGAAGCGGUGACCAUGGCUGGCUCCAAGCAGGUGGUCAGGAUAGAGCUGCACAGCGGCCUUGCUCCUGUCUGAAGCCCUGUAUCCAGCCCUGGGUCAGCGCACAGUAGGGAUGCAAUCAAUGUUUGUGCAAUCAACAGUCCCCAGACAGACCCCACCGGCAGCAUCGGGCGGCUGGAACCAACCAUCUGCCCUAGACGGGGCCGCGGAGUGACUCUCAUCUGCGCCGGGACCCGCAGUGAGUCCUGGGCCUCCCGACACCAAUCGGAAGAAUGGGCAUCCUGACUGCCAGCCCCAACCACCCCAUGCCUGGGUUACAGGCCGAGUGGGGGAGAGGCUCUGAGCCCCUGUUCAAUUCCCCUGCAAGGGAGAAAUGCCCUGGGCAGUCGGGGGCGCCGGGGAGGGCAUGCCCGUGUCCCUUGUCCCCACCAUCACCAUUGUCACCUGCUCAGAAGAGACUAAAAACCCCAACAUCGGCCAGAUCCCAACAGUGGGCCGUCCUCCCAAACAGCCAGCCGGUCCUCCUCAAGAUGGUCAAGGUCACGAAGACAGGAGCUUCUGAGAAACCCUCACGACCAGAGGAAACUGAGGAGAUGUGACAAGUCGUUGCAAGGUGGGCUCAUGGGACAGCGAAGGGGCUUGAGGGGCAAAUGGAGGAAAACCCAAACAAAGCAUGGACUCCACUUAUACUAACCUGUUGGGACUGAUCUGCUGACCCGGAUGAAGGGGCCAGUGUGCUAACUCUCGGCGAAACCGUAGUACUUCCCAUAAAUCUAAAACUGUUCUAAAACACAGUCGUUAAGACACUUGACCAAGCCACCAACUCUGGACGCAGUCUUCGUCUCCUGGUCCCCUUUCCUCCCAGCCCCACCUGGCCCCAGAAGGACAGUCGGCUGGGACCAGCCCGGCCCGGGAGCCCUGUCUGCUGGGUACCAUCUCCAACUCUCAAAACCUGGCCCAGGCGUUGUCCUCACUCAUCAUUCCACUUCACAGAUGGGGAAGCUGAGGCUCUGACACAGGAAAGGAUUUUCACAAAGCUGCACUUAGGGCACACCUGGGAUCCGAACUCAGCUCUCUCUAACCCCAGAGCCCCGUCACCAGUGUUUCCCCAACUUGAGCAGGCACCGGAAUCCCCCAGAGGGUUUGUUAACCGCCCCCCCCCCCAUUCCCCGAGUUUCUGACUCCGUCGUCUGGGAGGGUCUCACACGUCCGACCGGUUCCCAGAUGACGCUGAGGCUGCAUCGAGACCCCACCGAAAACCACACAGCCCUACCGUGCUGUCUCCCGGGCAGCGCCACCCCACACUCAGGCACGGGGAAACCACGCACCCCUCCCUGCUGCCUGCUGAGCCCGCCCCUCCUGCCCGGCCACGUGACCCGGGGCCUGUGCCUCGGUCUCCCCAUCUGCGAAGUGACGUACGCUGCCCAGCUGUAGUGAGGAUUAAAAGGCAAAUCCGGGGAACUCAUUCCAGGAGCAGCUCCUGGCUCACGGGGAGGCCGGCCACAUGCCUGACCUUGGAUCCUUGGAUGAGAGGGCAUGAGGGAGGAGCUCUUUGGACAGUGGAGCACUCCCAGUCGCCACGGCUGCUCCCGCCAGGCCCUCGGGCAGCAGGACCCCACUCCCAGGGCUCCUCUGUGCCCACUCGCCUUGGGGACAGGACACCAGGAUGUGUUCCUUUCCCACACCACACCCUCACCAGCUCCUGCCUCGGGCGGGGUCUCUGCCAUCAGACCGAAGGGCACGCUCCCACCCCUCGCGCAAGGGGCUCAGGGGUGAAGUGACUCGCAGUGGGGUGACGGGUGUCCCCCCAUAUCCACAUCCACCUGGAACGCGACCUUAUUUGGAAACAAGGUCUUUGCAGAUGUGAUUAGUUAAGAACGUUGUGAUGAGAUCAUCCUGGAUUUAAGGCUGGCUCUAAGUGCAAGGACAGGUGUCUCCAUAAGAGGAAGGACACAGAGACAGGGAGGAGGCCGUAUGGGGACAGAGGCAGGCAGGGAGGACCUUCCCCUGGAGCCUCCGGAGGUCCUGUGGCGACCCUGCGGGCACCCUGGUUUUGGACUUCUCAUCAAGUUCUGAUCAAGAAUUCACCAUCGAUCCUAACUAUGAGACUGGGUCACUUGGAUAUCUGGAAUUUAUCCCAAAGAAGUAGUAAGUUUAGGGGCGGCAUGGUGGCCUGGUCCGUUAAGCGUUCGACUUCGGCUCAGGUCAGGAGCUCACGGUUCGUGGGUCCGAGUCCCAUUGUCAGACUCUGCACUCACAGUGCGCAGCCUCCUCGGGAUUCCCGCUCUCUCUCCCUCUCUCUCUGCCCCUCCCCAGCUGUGCCCUUUCUCCCGCUCUCAAAAAUAAAUUAACAAAAAAAAGGAAAUAACAGUUAACAAAAUUGGAAAUGAAAGAUGACCAAAACGGCACCAUUUACAAACGCAACAAGCUGGAAAUGACCCAAGACCAACUGUUGGCGGAAGGUGACACAGGCAUCAGAGUGUGGAAGGACGCGCAGGGCCCACACUAAACACGUACGGGUCUCGGCCCCACAGCCGGGUGACGGCACGCCUCUGCGGGCGGCGAGGGCAGAGGAGGUAAGGUGGACAACUGCGUGCACUGCGCACGUCCCUGGCGGCAAGAGUCAAACUCAGGCUCCGCAGAGGAGGACGGCCUGGGUGGUGUUGGUGAAGCACCGAGAGCAGGUCCUGUGCCCAGCUUCCCCCGCCCCGCUGCCUGUCCCUCUCAAGUGGCCUGCCACCUCCAGGGAUCGCGGCUGUGAGAGGCUGGUGUGGCUGGUGGCAGGCCUCGCCCCUAAGAGCUACAGUGAAAAAUACGCGAGCAGACCUCCCUCGACGGCACUGUCCCUGUCCCGGCAGGUGGCUCCUCGGGGGCCAGGCUGGAGGUGGCCCUUUGAAAGGCUCCCAGUGCCAGGAGCAUUCGGCCUGCUGCCCUGCCGGGGAGGGGAGAGAGGGCGGCGGUGUGGUCCCCAGCGCCCGGGCACCCUCCCCUGCUUGGGCCCCAGAGGUUCCUCCAAGGCCUCGGUUUACUUGUCAGAGAUGUGCUGGGACGGCAACCCAAAGCCCUGGACCGUGGGGGGCUGAGUGGAUACCCCAGACGUGGCCUCUGCGCGCGAGGCACUCUCACUCCGCCUGAAAAAGGAGGGCCUGAGCACAUCAUGCUGAGUCAAGCAGGCCAGUCACAAGAGGACCGAUACUGUACCACCCACUCAGAUGAGGUGCGCGGGUGCCGGGGGUAAGCGCUUUCACAGAGACAGAAGGAAGGGCGGCGGCAGGCGGGGCUGGGAGAGGGGGCCGGGAGGGAGGGUGUGCGGCGGGCGGGGGCAGAGUUCCGGUCCGCAAAGCGGAGGCGGGUUCGGCCGCACACAGCGUGAGUGCGCUUGAUGUCUCGGCCCUCACUGUCCGCUUACACACGGUUAAGAGCGCGAACUUUAUGUUACGUACAUUUUGCCACGAUUAAAACCCAAAACGGUAAGCUGGCGCCGAAUGCCUCCUCUGUGCCCCGCGCCGGGGAGGCCCGCAGCGAAGCCUGAAGGAUGACGGUCCUUGAGCUCCAAGGGCGGGGUCUGGGUGCGACGGCUG